UUUUUUUUUCUUUUUGUUUCAAUGACAAGUGGACCCCACAGGGCCACACAUGAUGAUAACGUUAGCCAAUGUCGCCGUUACUUAGGCUAUGCCACGUCGGCCUGACUGGCGGGCCCUAUUUAUCAUAAACUCACUUAACUGAGCAAGAUCCGUCGAUCAGUGUUUUUUGCAAAAAGAUUACCGUAGACAUAAUGUUUUUUGCAAAAAAAAAUAUUAUAGUGUUUUUCGCAAAUCUAGCCUUCAAAGUGGUGGUUUUGUGCAAUUUACUCCCCACAUCAUGACACAAGACCCCAACACACUACCCCUACAACCUGUCGGCAUAUGCAACUCAUCCUAACAAAACUGCCCCCAUAAAAUAAGUUGAAAGAAAGACAUCAUCAAGCAACCACGACCUUCCCUAUAGCGCCAACAUAUACAGGAUGAAACUUAAUAAUUGUGUCCAAAGUUUGUCCAUGUGCUUGCAUGUUUAUUUUUAAGACCUAGACAGUUUUUGGAGUCUGUAUACAAUGGGUAUUUAGCUUACUCUAAACUACACUGCUUUGCAUUAUAAAUGCCAACAGUUCCCAUCAGCCAAAAUCACCCUGGACCAAACAAAGAAUCAACAACGACAACUCAACCAAAUUUCAGUGAUAGGUCCAAAAUCUUCAAACUCAUCUCUCGUGGAUGAGAGGAGAGCCCAUUUCACAGUUGAAAUACUAGUCCAAAUAGAUAGUAGAAAGCAUAAGACAUAGGUAGCAGAACAUAAUCAUUUUAAUUCAGAUGCAUUCCCUUCUGUUCUUAACAUCAACUUGCCUCAAACUUGUGUGGGACAACUCAAGCAUUUUGUUUCUCAUAAGACUACAUUCAAGUGACAAAUCAACACUCAAAAGAAGAAGAAAUGGAAUACAAUACCCAAGGGGAUUCAGAAACAUUGUAUAAACAACAACAACAACAACAGUAAUUUACAGUUCCAUUGAUAACACAAGCAGGAAAGCAACGUUAUGGGGGGCAAAUGGAAUCUGAUCUGUAACCUCCAGAGCGCCUAAUAAGUGAAGAUACCAUUAAUAUGCAAAGAAUGGGUACAUACUCUAAUCUAUUGAGAUGUUAUGGAAGACCAGACAAAUGAUAU
rnacentral:lncRNA from 1 species